UACGAAGGGGGCUAGCGUUACUCGGAAUUACUGGGCGUAAAGCGUGCGUAGGUGGUGCGUUAAGUCUGUCGUGAAAGCCCCGGGCUCAACCUGGGAAUGGCGAUGGAUACUGGCGCGCUAGAGUGCGGUAGAGGAGAGUGGAAUUCCCGGUGUAGCAGUGAAAUGCGUAGAGAUCGGGAGGAACAUCAGUUGCGAAGGCGGCUCUCUGGACCAGCACUGACACUGAGGCACGAAAGCGUGGGGAGCAAACAGG
rnacentral:rRNA from 1 species